GUUGGAUUUGACUUCUCAAUGAUACACAAUGAUUCUCUACCUGGACUAACACCACAGAGGAUGCCAUAGAAACUUCUGAGAUUUCGAUGAUAAAUAUAAAAAGUUGAAGCUUUGGGGAGCCCAAGCCAGGAAGCUGGAGACACUGUGGCAGAAAGUGAAAGAGGAAGAAGCCAUUCGACGUCUGUUUUUAAAAAUGUGUUCUGUCCCUCAGUCCGCCAAAAAGUCCUCAUCUCCUGAAGCUGCAAGAAGAGACAGAGCCCAGCCUGAUAAUCUGAGGACUGAACUUCAAAGGUG
rnacentral:lncRNA from 10 species